rnacentral:rRNA from 1 species
GUAGUCCACGCCCUAAACGAUGAUCACUGGGUGUUGGGGAAGCGAUUCUCCAGUACCGAAGCUAACGCGUGAAGUGAUCCGCCUGGGGAGUACGGUCGCAAGAUUAAAACUCAAAGGAAUUGACGGGGACCCGCACAAGCGGUGGAUGAUGUGGAUUAAUUCGAUGCAACGCGAACAACCUUACCUACCCUUGACAUGUCCGGAAGGCCCCUGAGAGGGGGUUGUGCCCGAAAGGGAACCGGAACACAGGUGCUGCAUGGCUGUCGUCAGCUCGUGUCGUGAGAUGUUGGGUUAAGUCCCGCAACGAGCGCAACCCUUGUCCUUAGUUGCUACGCAAGGGCACUCUAAGGAGACUGCCGGUGACAAACCGGA